rnacentral:rRNA from 1 species
UGGGGAAUAUUGCGCAAUGGGCGAAAGCCUGACGCAGCGACGCCGCGUGGGUGAUGAAGGCCUUCGGGUCGUAAAGCCCUGUCGGGUGGAACGAAUUGCUUGGCGGCAAAUAACCGCUAGGUUUGACGGUACCACCGAAGGAAGCCCCGGCUAACUACGUGCCAGCAGCCGCGGUAAGACGUAGGGGGCGAGCGUUGUUCGGAUUUACUGGGCGUAAAGCGCGCGUAGGCGGCCAGAUAAGUCGGGUGUGAAAGCCCUCGGCUCAACCGAGGUUCCGCAUCCGAUACUGUUUGGCUUGAGUCUAGGAGAGGAGAGCGGAAUUCCCAGUGUAGCGGUGAAAUGCGUAGAUAUUGGGAGGAACACCCGUGGCGAAGGCGGCUCUCUGGACUAGUAUUGACGCUGAGGCGCGAAAGCUAGGGGAGCGAACGGG